AUUAAAACGUUGAAGAGAAGAGUACGCUGAGGAACGUUACAGAGAGAAAUGUAUACCGGUGCAAGCAUUUCAUCGCGAACCAGCCGAAGACCACCUCUGAGUGACUUUAAUACAGUCCGGUGAUUCCGUUACCAUCGAAUGAAGCGGUUCUGAUCAGAUGAUUUAUCCAUCAGUAAUGUAUCAGAACAACCGGGGUGGAACCGCGAGUAAUGUUAUCUCGUCCCCUAC
rfam:Ruminococcus sp. CAG:9-related_41_34 Ley3_66761_scaffold_2526, whole genome shotgun sequence.